rnacentral:rRNA from 1 species
ACGAAGCAAUUUCUUACGAUCCCUUCGGGGUGACGAGUUAUUGACUGAGUGGCGGACGGGUGAGUAACGCGUGGGUAACCUACCUUGUACAGGGGGACAACAGUUGGAAACGACUGCUAAUACCGCAUAAGCGCACAGCAUCGCAUGAUGCAGUGUGAAAAGUUUUUUCGGUACAAGACGGACCCGCGUCUGAUUAGCUAGUUGGUGAGGUAACGGCCCACCAAGGCGACGAUCAGUAGCCGACCUGAGAGGGUGACCGGCCACAUUGGGACUGAGACACGGCCCAAACUCCUACGGGAGGCAGCAGUGGGGAAUAUUGCACAAUGGGCGCAAGCCUGAUGCAGCGACGCCGCGUGAGCGAAGAAGUAUUUCGGUAUGUAAAGCUCUAUCAGCAGGGAAGAUAAUGACGGUACCUGACUAAGAAGCACCGGCUAAAUACGUGCCAGCAGCCGCGGUAAUACGUAUGGUGCAAGCGUUAUCCGGAUUUACUGGGUGUAAAGGGAGCGUAGGCGGUUUUACAAGUCUGAUGUGAAAGCCCGGGGCUCAACUCCGGUAUUGCAUUGGAAACUGUAGAACUAGAGUGUCGGAGGGGUAAGUGGAAUUCCUAGUGUAGCGGUGAAAUGCGUAGAUAUUAGGAGGAACACCAGUGGCGAAGGCGGCUUACUGGACGAUUACUGACGCUGAGGCUCGAAAGCGUGGGGAGCAAACAGGAUUAGAUACCCUGGUAGUCCACGCCGUAAACGAU